ACCUUCCUAGUGAAAGUUCCUUUUAGAAAUAUUGCUAUUAUUGUUAGUUGAAGCAAAUUACUGGUAGAAAAUUUGUGCACGGGAAAAAUAUUUAAGUAAUAUAUUUUGUAAAUUCCUCGGUUUAUUAUUUUUUUUUUUAAAUUUUAUGAGAAAACCUUUUAGGAAAUCGAAAAACGACCUUCCUAAUGUACCUCCAAGCACCGACCUCUUAUCAUUUCCCACCGUUUUACUAAAGACGUGAAGUUAGUUAUUUAUAUUCAUAUUAUGGAACUUAUUUUUCUAGUAAAUACCUAGGUAUCAGUGAUUACCUGAAAUGAUUGAAUAUUUAAUUUAAGACUCUUCAUAAAAGUUUUACAUCGAAAAAAAAUUGAGCUUAGUCAUUAUUUUUUUAUAAGCGUUUUAAGUUCAAAUUUGUUAUAAUCGAAUUGCAAAUUAUUUUUAUUUACAAAUUAAUAAAACGUUCUAUAUAUGUUUAUCAAAUAAUACAACACAGACCUUAUCUCAGAACAGUUGGUAAUAGCUUACGGAUAUAUACUGCAGGAAUUAACUAAAUUACAUUGUAUAAGGUUUUUCUUUUCUAUUUUUCUAUAGAAUUUAAUUUUCUUUACGUUUGCUGGAAGUAAAAUUUCAAGGCUGAAUUGGCGAAAACCGUCACGGUCUCAUUGGCCGGUUAUCGUCUUCAGUAAUUGAUACCAAUAUCAGUACAAGAAGGUACAUGUCAGUACCUAUUUAUUGAAAUAGGUAAAUUGUUAAGAAGAGUGUUUUUGAUAUUUAAUACCUUAUGGUUAUUUGUACGUUAUAUUUCUAAUUAUUUUAGUGCAAAAGGCCGUAUUUCAUUAUGCGAUGAUAUUGUCAUCAACUAAUUAUAAAC